rnacentral:rRNA from 1 species
ACGAACGCUGGCGGCGUGCCUAAUACAUGCAAGUAGAACGCUGAAGAGAGGAGCUUGCUCUUCUUGGAUGAGUUGCGAACGGGUGAGUAACGCGUAGGUAACCUGCCUUGUAGCGGGGGAUAACUAUUGGAAACGAUAGCUAAUACCGCAUAACAAUAGGUGACACAUGUCAUUUAUUUGAAAGGGGCAAUUGCUCCACUACAAGAUGGACCUGCGUUGUAUUAGCUAGUAGGUGAGGUAACGGCUCACCUAGGCGACGAUACAUAGCCGACCUGAGAGGGUGAUCGGCCACACUGGGACUGAGACACGGCCCAGACUCCUACGGGAGGCAGCAGUAGGGAAUCUUCGGCAAUGGGGGCAACCCUGACCGAGCAACGCCGCGUGAGUGAAGAAGGUUUUCGGAUCGUAAAGCUCUGUUGUAAGUCAAGAACGAGUGUGAGAGUGGAAAGUUCACACUGUGACGGUAGCUUACCAGAAAGGGACGGCUAACUACGUG